GGACUCAAGUCACCAAUUCAAAGAAAUAGACUGGUGGAAUGGAUCAAGAAACAACAUCCAAUCAUAUCAUGUACAUCUAAUCCAAACGGAAACUCAUAGACUGUAAGUCAAAGGAUGGAAAACAAUACUUCAUGCAACGGGAACUACCCACCAAAAAAAAGCAAGGGUAACUACUCUGUUUGCAGACAAUGUGAACUUCAAAUCAAGAAUGAUCAAAAGAAAAAGAAAAUCACUACGUACUAGUUAGGAGAAAACUUCAAGUGGAAGAGAUAACAAUCUUAAACAUCUAUGCAACAAAUUCGGGAGCACCAGCUAUAUAAACAAAUAUUAACAGAAAUGAAAAAUCAAAUAAGCAAUAACACAAUUAUAAUGGGAGACCUUAACACCCCCUGACAAUAAGAGACAGAUCAACUAGACAGAAAAUCAACAAAGAAAUAACAGAACCGAAUCACAUCUGUGAACAAAUGCACUUAGUGGACGAGCACAGAGUAUUCCAUCCUGAAGAUCAAUGAAAUAGAUUGUAAGAUAGAACUACAACUACACAAAACUCAGCCACCUUAUCUUUGACAAAGGGGCCAAACACAUUCACCAGAAGAAAGAUAAUGUCUUUAAUAAGUGGUGCUAGAAAAACUGGCUCUCCAUAUGCCACAAACUAAAACUAUACCCAUGCCUAGCACCAUGCAUAAAACUAAAGUCAAAAUGGAUCAAAGAUCUAAAUAUUAAAACAGAAACACUAAACAUGCUGGAUGACAAAGUAGUUGGAAAUUUUGAAGACACAGGGACAGGCAAGAGAAUUCAUGAACAAAAAUCAAACCACAUGGGAAACACUUCCCAGAAUCAAUAACUGGAAUUACGUCUUAUUAAAAGUGUUUGCAUGUCAAAAUAAAUCUCCAACAGAGUAAAAGGAAACGUAGAAUUUUGAAAAAAUCUUAGUAAACUGUCUCGCAAAGGACUUCUACAACAUAUAAAGUAUUUAAAAAAUUCUUUAUAUGUCUAGAACAUAUAAAGAAUUUUAAAAAAUCAGACCUCAUGAAGUCAAACCAACAUUUCAUAGAGGAUAGCAGCCCUGUGACACAGGCCCUGUGGAGGUGCAGGCAGAGAUGGUCACCCAGCACCCUGAGGUGCCCAAUGCCAGGGGCUGUGCACUUGAGGGCAAUGAGGGUGAGUUCAUGUUAGGCACCUUCUGUCCCAAUGGAAAGAAGAAUAAUGGCCAGGUACAGUGAGGUCCACGGUGAGCACAGAAAUAAAAUGUAGGAAACAGCAGCACACAGCCUGGGAAGGCAGAAAUGUCGCACUGUUUCCCUGCACACACGUGGCCUGGUGGGUCGCUGCUGAAGGGAGGCCUGGCUGACCAAUGGCACACGCUGGAAGGCAGCAACAUACAUGCAACAGGAUUGAGGCUCAGCAGGGUGAGAGAUGUGAAUACUAAUCCAAAGGGAGGAGGAAAAUCAGGGAAGAGCAAACAAAGGGUGGGUAAAACAGAGCUGGAAGACAGGCUGGAACCCAGCUGAGUGAACACAGGGCAGUGAUUUGCAUUCAUCACCAAUUACAAAGCACAGACUGUCAGGUGAGAUUAACCAUUGCACCUACAAAGAAGCUGCUUAUUAGCUUUAUUUUCCUUUUAUGUAGAAAUAGUUUCAGAUUUUAAGAAGGUCAUUGAGUUCCUAUACACUGAUCACCUGGCUUCUUCAGACAGGAGGAACGUAAGAGAUCCGAAGGACGAUGAGUGACAUUAGGAAGUGGACGUUCCUGCAGUACUGCUAAGUACAGUGGACAAUUCACCUGGGCUUCUCCCAUCUGUCUUUUACAGGACCUAUCUAGGACUCCACAUUGUGUGCAGUGACGGGGACACUGCUGUCUCCUCCCAUCUGUGGCGGUCCGCUGUCUACCAGGAACGCUGUCCUUGUUCCUCUGCACAGUCUAACAUACGUGCAUUCACCAGUGAAGUUGUCAUGGCUAAAACUCCUGGCACCAGCUUCUACCUAGACAUCAACUGUCAUCCCGUCGACCCCCCUAGACUCCAGUACAGUGCCCUCGGCCAGCAGGAAGUAGUUAAAGAGAGAAAUCUUCGCCCCUUUUCCUAAUAAUCAUAAGAUGGGAUAUGAAAGGGUUGCUGGCCCAGGCCGGAUACUGUAGCCAGUAAAGCCAGGGAGCUCUUAUCUCCCCCCACCUUUAGAAAUUACUUCUGGCGCCAAACUAAGACCAGUGGGCUACCUGUACAUCCCUAAUGCCCCUUAGGUUCCACCCCAGGCUGAGGCUACUUAUAUGCCUCACUCCACGUGUUCCACGGAGAGAUCGCUGGCCCCGGGGUGGAGAUGCCAUGCCGCAGGGGGUCAGGGGUGUCUCUCCCCGCAUUCCCAAAAUAAAGGUUACUUACAUUUUA